rnacentral:rRNA from 1 species
CCUACGGGUGGCAGCAGUGGGGAAUAUUGCACAAUGGGGGCAACCCUGAUGCAGCGACGCCGCGUGAGUGAAGAAGUAAUUCGUUAUGUAAAGUUCUAUCAGCAGGGAAGAAAAUGAUGGUGCCUGAGUAAGAAGCCCCGGCUAACUACGUGCUAGCAGCCGCGGUAAUAAGUAGGGGGCAGGCGUUAUACGGCUUGACUGGGUGUAGAGGGAGCGUAGACGGCAGUGCAAGUCUUGAGUGAAAGGCGUGGGCUCAACCCCCGGACUGCUCUGGAAACGGUACGGCUGGAGUGCAGGAGAGGCAAGAGGAAUGCCUAGUGUAGCGGUGAAAUGCGUAGAUAUUAGGAGGAACACCAGUGGCGAAGGCGGCUUACUGGACUGUAACUGACGUUGAGGCGCGAAAGCGUGGGGAGCAAACAGGAUUAGAUACCCCAGUAGUC